GGCGGAAGGGGCCGGUACAGGGACGUGGCCGGGGCGCGGCUAUGGCGGCGGCGAAACCCGGGGGAGGCACCGGCACCGGCACCAACCUGCUCUUCUCCUCCUCCGCCACCGAGUUCAGCUUCAACGUACCCUUCAUCCCCGUCAGCCAAGCUCCGGCUGCGCCGCCCGGCCCAGCGCUGCUGCCCGCCGAUGAUUCUGCAGAUGUUGGGGAAGAGGACAGCUUCUUGGGUCAGACUUCAGCCAGCCCCAACCCACCACAGACUUUCAGCUACUUCUCUCAAGUUCCCAGCAGCAGUGAUCCCUUUGGGAGUAUUGGGCAGCCACCCUUAACAACUGUUUCAACACCUGUCGGAGCACCAGCCUUCUCCAGACCUCCCACUUCACUCCCACUCGUGUCUGGGUCACAGGAUGGGCAAAAUGCCUUUCCACCACAUAUUCCCAAAUCCCAGUCUUACAGUGCACCACCCACUUCCCAGGUGGGAAUGGCACCAUACCAGCCCUCUCAGCAGAGCUGUCCCCCACCUGCCAGCACCGCCCUGCCCGCGGGGAGCCCGCAGCAGCAGGGCUACAACCCCUACAGGCACACCACCCUGAGCAGCAGGGCCAACCCCUACCUCACCCCGCCCCAGCUGCAGCAGAGCCACCCCCCUGCCACAGCGUCCCCUGUGCCACCCGUGCAGAUGUACCAGACACCCCCGGGGCCACUGACACAGUUUCCACAGUCCCAGCUCCAGCCUGCCAGGCCUGCAGGACCCCUGGUCCCAGCCCCUCCUGUGCUGCUGCAGAACCAGUAUGAGCCAGUUCAGCCCCACUGGUUCUACUGUAAGGAGGUGGAGGACAAGCAAAUAUGGAUGCCAUUCAGCAUUCUGGAUUCUGCAAAACUAGAGGAGGUCUAUAAUUCUGUCCAGCCUGACCCCGAGAGCGUGGUGCUGAGCACGGACGGCGGCCGCUACGACGUGUUCCUGUACGAGCGCGUGAGGAAAGCCGUGUACUGGGACGAGGAGCCCUCGGAAGUGAGGCGCUGCCUGUGGUUCUACAAGGGAGACAAGGACAGCCGCUUCAUCCCUUACACUGAGGACUUCAGUGACAAAUUGGAGGCAGAAUAUAAAAGGGCUGUAACUACAAACCAAUGGCAUCGGAGACUUGAAUUUCCAAAUGGGGAGACAAUUGUUAUGCAUAAUCCCAAGGUCAUAGUUCAGUUCCAGCCUUCUGCCACACCAGAUGAAUGGGGCACCACUCAGGAUGGGCAGACAAGGCCAAGGGUAGUGAAACGUGGAAUUGAUGAUGACCAUGAUGAGAUUCCUGAUGGAGAAAUGUCCCAAAUUGACCAUCUGGUAUUUAUGGUUCAUGGCAUAGGUCCUGUAUGUGACUUGAGGUUUAGAAGCAUUGUUGAAUGUGUUGAUGAUUUUAGGACUGUUUCUCUGAAGUUGUUGCAGACUCACUUUAAGAAAUGUUUGGAGGAACGCAAAGUGAGCAGGGUGGAAUUCCUUCCAGUUCAUUGGCACAGUUCUCUGCAUGGAGAUGCAACAGGUGUAGACAGGAACAUAAAGAAAAUCACUUUGCCGAGCAUUGGUCGCCUGAGGCACUUCACCAACGAAACGCUGCUCGACAUCCUGUUCUACAACAGCCCCACCUACUGCCAGACCAUCGUGGAUAAAGUGGGCAUGGAAAUGAACCGCCUGUACGCGCUCUUCAUGAGCCGCAACCCCGACUUCAAAGGGGGAGUCUCUGUGGCUGGGCACAGUUUAGGUUCUUUAAUUCUAUUUGACAUAUUGUCUAACCAGAAAGACUUGGCUUCAUCAGUAAAUUCUGGACCAUUCUCUGGUGUUAAUGGGAGUGUGAAGGACGUGGCUGUUCAUGAUAAACAGAUGACUGAAGAUACCAGUUCCUUGGGCUCCUCCAUUGCUACUUCUGCUGAUGACCUUUGUGAGGCUGAGGCAGAGGAAGAUGUUCCCACUCUGCAGAAGACUCUGGAAAUGCUCAGUUUGUCAGAGUACGCCAGCACCUUUGAAAAGGAGCGGAUUGACAUGGAGUCUCUGCUCAUGUGUACAGUUGAUGACCUCAAGGAGAUGGGGAUACCUCUUGGACCAAGAAAGAAAAUAGCUAAUUUUGUAAAAGACAGAGCUGCCAAGCAGGAGCAGAAGAAAGCAGUAGCAGAAAAGAAAGCUGUGCUGGCUGCCACACUCCAGACUCAAGAAGACACCCAGAAACCAAAAGAGGCAGUUUCUUCUGUGUCACCUUCAGAGUCUGGUCAGAUGCACUCAAAGAGGAAGCUCCCAGUUGGUGCAUCUGUGUCUUCUGUGAACAUUGACUAUGAGUAUUUUGAAGUUGGAACUGGCCAGGUUUCUGUGGUUUACAGCGCACUGGACUUUGAACCAGAUAUUUUCUUUGCUCUUGGGUCCCCUAUUGGUGUGUUCCUUACUGUGAGGGGUGUGGAGAAGAUUGAUGAAAACUACAGGCUCCCUACCUGCAAGGGAUUCUUUAAUAUCUAUCACCCACUUGAUCCAGUAGCUUACAGGUUAGAACCAAUGAUCAUUGAAGACAUGGAUUUAAAACCAGUUCUCAUUCCACAUCAUAAAGGCAGAAAAAGACUUCAUCUGGAGCUGAAAGAUUCUCUGUCUCGUAUGGGAUCUGAUCUGAAGCAGGGCUUUAUUAGCUCUUUGAAGAGUGCAUGGCAGACCCUUAAUGAAUUUGCACGUGCUCAUACAUCUUCAACCCAGCUGCAAGCAGAACUGGAGAAAGUAGCUAACCAAAUUAAAGAGGAGGAAGAAAAGCAGGUGGUGGAAGCUGAGAAGAUCACUGAAAGCCCAGACCCUCCAAAAGAUGAAGAUGUUUCAGUGAAGGUUGGGAUGCUGAAUGGAGGACGUCGCAUUGAUUAUGUUCUACAAGAGAAACCAAUAGAAAGCUUCAAUGAGUACCUGUUUGCUUUGCAGAGUCACCUGUGCUACUGGGGAUCUGAAGACACUGCCUUGCUGUUUCUCAAAGAGAUAUACAGGACCAUGAAUAUCAAUCCUGAGCAGCCACAGCAUUGAUGUAUAAAAACCUGAAUUUAUGUAGGUUUCCAAACUGAGGAUCUGUGUUGUACCAGUUUGCAUCACUGGAUGUUCCAGGAAAGAAAAUACUGUCUUUUGAGAGGCAAGGAAGAAAUAAUACGCACCUUGCCUUUUUGGAAUUAUACACGAUAAUUUCUGAUGUAUUUCUCCAUUUUCAGAAGAACUGAUAAUGUCAAGAGCCAUAGCUGUUGCUCCAGCAGACCUGGUGAAAAACCCUCUGAAGAACAUCUGGUAUUUUCAUAGUUGCAUAUGACAGAUAAGCAUCAGAGGAUUUUCUCCUGCUGGUCCAGAACUUGCUUGGAUUCUACCUUCUUGUGUCACUUCAAGCAAACUUAAGUUAUGAGAUGAUCAACACUGUCAUUCAGGAGAUGGAUGAAAUGACACAGAUUUGAUCUGAAAUCAGUUCAGUUGUAUUAUUGCCAAAUAUAAGGUGUUUGAAGAAGGUUUUAUUGGUAUGCAAAUCAUAACUUCUGUCCUUCAGCUCUCCUGGCUCAGCUGGCUGCGAGAUAUGCCUUGCCUUCCAAGGCAGCAUGUCCUUAGUAAAAAGGACUUGAUGAGAAACAGCAAUAAUUAACUUUUCUUGGCACAUUUGUUCGUCCACCUUUAAGAAAUGAAAUGUGAACUGUAGUUAUAACCGUCUUUAAUACAGAUUACAUAAACCAGUUCAUAUUUACUAAAAACUAGCAACCAGAAUCAUUUUCUUACUAUUGUAAGUGUGAUGGAGAUUAUUUUAUAAAGACCUUUUUAAGCCUCUGUUAAGAGUUUUAUUGUGGCUUUUUUUUAAGUAAAAAUGAACCUUUGACUUUGAAAAUACUAGAAUUUUGUUACAGCUAGUUCAGUGUUCACAUAUCCUGAAAUAAGGAACGAUUUAAAAUGACAGUUUGAUCUGGUAAUUAUAGAAUCACAGACUAUUCUAAGUUAAUUAAGGCAAUUUUAGUGAAACUAGGCUGCAGUUGUGAGAGCUAAAACACUUACCUUGACCUUACAGUUUAACAUCUCAAAACAGUUACUGUAAAUAGGAACCUGAAGCUUAUGGGUGCUAGAUAAUAAUCUAGAUCCAGCCCUGCAAUCCAGACUCCAUUUUCAUGUGGUGAGGUUGAGGUGAGUUAGGUAUUGUGAAACCUUUGGAAUUCAUGUCUGAAUACUGAGCUUCUGUAACUUUCUCUCUGGUUUUGAUUCACACACACAUUGUGGCUUUCCUUAAUAUUAGUGGCUUAACCUAAUUCCUGGCUAUUUGCCUCUGUUAUUGCAGUAAACAAAUUUUGAAAUGCAGUAUGUUUUUUUUUUUCCUUGAUAUGUGUACAAUACACAUUAAUGUGUAUAUAUAAAUUGAUGGCUGUAAUUAAAAUUACCUUAUUUCCACUGUGUCUUUACAAAAAGGUUUUGUAUUUAAUCACAAAAAAUUGCUUGGAGGGUUGCUUAGUCCAACUUCCCAGCUUAGGACCUUGUUAAGGCUGGAGAUCCUUUGCCUCUCUGGCCCUGUUGUAAUGUUUGAUUACUAGGAUUACAUUUUUUUUCCUAAUACACAGUUGAAAUUUUCUGGGAGGAGCUUGUAUCUGUGGCCUUUUGUCCUUUCUCUGCAUCUUCAAAAAUAACAUCUCUGUCUUCUCUUGUACUCUCACGUUUGACAGUUGAGGACAGCAAUGAGAUUUUCCUGUUUGGCUUCUCAAGACCCAACACUUCCCUUGGCAUCUCCUUGUCUGCCAUGGGCUGUGACCUUUUACUGAGUCUUGGGGCUUCCCACUCAACCGGCUUUCCAAAAUCCUUCUUGCUCUGGGGAGCAAGUUUGCCAAAGGCAACUUUUUAUCCAAAACAGACAAAUGUCUUUGUAUCUUAAUAAAUUAACCUGCCACACAA